GAGUCGGGGAGGAGUCCCGGCCCUGCCGACGUGUGGAGUCCGGAGCGUGAACAUGGAGGUGACGGCCGCGCGCCGCGCGUUCCUCUGCGACAUCGGUUUCUGGGCCGACCGGACGGCGCUGCACGAGGCGGCCUUCCACGGCAGGGUGCUGCAGCUGAAGCAGCUGAUCGAGAGUGCAGCCUCGGUCAACACGGUGACGGUGGACAACAUCACUCCCCUGCACGAGGCCUGCACACAGGGUCACGUGAUGUGUGCCCAGCUGCUGCUUGAGGCCGGAGCUCAGGUGGACGUGCAGACCAUCCAUGGAAGCACCCCUCUGUGUCACGCCUGUGCCUCGGGCAGCCUGGAGUGUGUCGAGCUGCUGCUGGAGUACGGAGCCAAAGCGAACCCGACGCUCACGGCGCUCACUGCGUCGCCGCUCCACGAGGCCUGCAUACGGGGUAACGUCGACGUGGUGAGACUGAUGAUAGCGAGCGGUGCCCAGCUGGAGGCCUACGACGUCCACUUUGGCCCACCGCUCCACAUCACAUGUGCUAAAGGACACAUGGGCUGUGUGAGGGAGCUGCUCGUUGCAGGUGCAGACGUGAACUCGGGGAAAUUCCACGAGACGGCUCUGCACCACGCGGCACGAGCCCACGCCGUCGACAUGAUCGAGCUGCUGGUGGAGUUUGGAGCCUACGUGCACGCCAGCGACAACCUGGGCAGGAAGCCUGUGGACUACACCGCACCAGCCUCGCCCUCGCACACCUGCCUCAAGCUCUACCAAAGUAACCCCCUGAGCCUGCAGCAGCUCUGCAGGAUCACUGUGAGGAGGUCACUGGGCACCAGGGCCUCGGAGGUCAUAGGUCAGAUGAACAUAUCCCACCGCAUCCACAGCUUCCUGCAGUACUGCGACCGCCCCACACCGCUGCAGAGUGACACCAGUGCAUUUCUACAACCUGCAUGAGAGACUGGUGUUUCAUUUUGAAUGAUACAUUUUUCAAAAAGCAUCAUGGACAACACGUUUGCCUAGAGUGCUGUGGGCCUGUCUGGUCGUGAAGCCUACAAGUCCCAGGAUGCACUUCGCCCAGCAGGUAUGUCACGUGACUCGUGUGGCUCUCGCGUGGUGACGUCACCGUCCGGAGCCGCUUGUUUACAAACAUCUCGCUGC